rnacentral:rRNA from 1 species
CCUACGGGAGGCAGCAGUAGGGAAUCUUCCACAAUGGGCGCAAGCCUGAUGGAGCAACGCCGCGUGUGUGAAGAAGGUCUUCGGAUCGUAAAACACUGUUGUUGGAGAAGAAAGUGCGUGAGAGUAACUGUUCACGUUUCGACGGUAUCCAACCAGAAAGCAACGGCUAACUACGUGCCAGCAGCCGCGGUAAUACGGAGGUGGCAAGCGUUAUCCGGAUUUAUUGGGCGUAAAGGGAACGCAGGCGGUCUUUUAAGUCUGAUGUGAAAGCCUUCGGCUUAACCGGAGUAGUGCAUUGGAAACUGGGAGACUUGAGUGCAGAAGAGGGGAGUAGAACUCCAGGUGUAGCGGUGAAAUGCGUAGAUAUAUGGAGGAACACCAGUGGCGAAGGCGGCCCUCUGGUCUGUAACUGACGCUGAGGUUCGAAAGCGUGGGUAGCAAACAGGAUUAGAUACCCCAGUAGUC